AGUGAACGCUGGCGGUAGGCCUAACACAUGCAAGUCGAACGGCAGCACAGUAAGAGCUUGCUCUUACGGGUGGCGAGUGGCGGACGGGUGAGGAAUACAUCGGAAUCUACUUUUUCGUGGGGGAUAACGUAGGGAAACUUACGCUAAUACCGCAUACGACCUACGGGUGAAAGCAGGGGAUCUUCGGACCUUGCGCGAUUGAAUGAGCCGAUGUCGGAUUAGCUAGUUGGCAGGGUAAAGGCCCACCAAGGCGACGAUCCGUAGCUGGUCUGAGAGGAUGAGCAGCCACACUGGAACGGAGACACGGUCCAGACUCCUACGGGAGGCAGCAGUGGGGAAUAUUGGACAAUGGGCGCAAGUCUGAUCCAGCCAUACCGCGUGGGUGAAGAAGGCCUUCGGGUUGUAAAGCCCUUUUGUUGGGAAAGAAAAGCAGCAGGUUAAUACCCCGCUGUUCUGACGGUACCCAAAGAAUAAGCACCGGCUAACUUCGUG
rnacentral:rRNA from 1 species